CACCUGCCACGAGCUGGGGCUGAUUCAUCCACACCUGCAGGAUGGACACUUCUACAUGGACCCUAACCAGGGCUGCCCAUUUGAUGCCGUGCAAGUCUUCUGUAACUUCACUGCAGGAGGGAUGACCUGUAUACCUCCUGUCCAGUCACAGAUAAUAGGAAAAUGGGAACCAGAAAAAAACAUGUCAAA